rnacentral:rRNA from 1 species
AGCGGCCGCGGUAAUUCCAGCUCCAAUAGCGUAUAUUAAAGUUGUUGCAGUUAAAAAGCUCGUAGUUGAAUUUCGGGAUUAAUAUGUUGGUCGUGCCUUGGUACGUACUGGCAUUAUUGAUUCCUACCUUCUGAAGAACCUCGAUGUCAUUAAUUUGGUGUCUUGGGGAAUCAGGACCGUUACUUUGAAAAAAUUAGAGUGUUUAAAGCAGGCUCGCGCUUGAAUACAUUAGCAUGGAAUAAUGAAAUAGGGCGUUUGAUUCUAUUUUGUUGGUUUCUAGGAUCGACGUAAUGAUUAAUAGGGAUAGUUGGGGGCAUUAGUAUUCAAUUGUCAGAGGUGAAAUUCUUGGAUUUAUUGAAGACUGACUACUGCGAAAGCAUUUGCCAAGGAUGUUUUCAUUAAUCAAGAACGAAAGUUAGGGGAUCGAAGACGAUCAGAUACCGUCGUAGUCUUAACCAUAAACUAUGCCGACUAGGGAUCGGAUGAUGUUAAUUUUUAAUGACUCAUUCGGCGCCUUACG